rnacentral:rRNA from 1 species
GAUGAACGCUGGCGGCGUGCCUAAUACAUGCAAGUCGAGCGAACGGACGAGAAGCUUGCUUCUCUGAUGUUAGCGGCGGACGGGUGAGUAACACGUGGAUAACCUACCUAUAAGACUGGGAUAACUUCGGGAAACCGUAGCUAAUACCGGAUAAUAUUUUGAACCGCAUGGUUCAAAAGUGAAAGACGGUCUUGCUGUCACUUAUAGAUGGAUCCGCGCUGCAUUAGCUAGUUGGUAAGGUAACGGCUUACCAAGGCAACGAUGCAUAGCCGACCUGAGAGGGUGAUCGGCCACGCUGGAACUGGGACACGGUCCAGACUCCUACGGGAGGCAGCAGUAGGGAAGCUUCCGCAAGGGGCGAAAGCCUGACGGAGCAACGCCGCGUGAGUGAGGAAGGUCUUCGGAUCGUAAAACUCUGUUAUUAGGGAAGAACAUAUGUGUAAGGAACUGUGCACAUCUUGACGGUACCUAAUCAGAAAGCCACGGCUAACUACGUG